UCAACCCAAAGAAAAUGUAUGAAGACACGGGGUGUACACAGACAGGGAGGCUAUCAAUUACAGGUGGGUUCGAUGGUCUUCAGUUUCGAUUCAUUCUGGUAUAGUUGGCAAAGACAAGUGUCUAAUAGGUCUAGAAGGGCUAUGCUUUAAGGGUCAAGCUGAUGAUGACACAUGUCCCAAGCUGGGUUCCAAAGAGCUAUAGCUGGAGGGACCGAGGUGCCUGUGAGGUGGAGGCACAAGCUUUAGACAAGGCUAUCUCAUAACGAGUUUUCUGUCUGAAGCCUUUUUUCAAGAGGAACUGAAUAUUUCCAGAUCACAGGGAAAUGUAAUGGAAUUUUCAUUUCUUUAUCCACUUCGAUGACUCCACUAUUGGAUAUUAAAGGUUUGAUCAGAUUAUUCUGGCCGCAGAGCCCAAACUUAUGAGAACUCCCAUAAACAUUUACGUCUCAGAUCCUAUAGAAAAGGAAGAGAUUAUAGAAUUGGAAUCAAUUUUUAUCUCCCCUCCCCAUCAUUUCUGUCUUAAUGAUUUUUGAAUCUUUUUAGUGUACUCAGAGAUAACUGGUUGAAGGUAACUCUAUGCAAUCUUUCAGGUUCCAACCAAUCAUCUGGAAUUUGAGGACCAAGGAAAAAAGAAAUCUCUGGCAAAAGGAAGCUGUAAAUCACAUUUCUUUAGGGGGUACGUAAGUACAUCCAUAUCGAAGGUGACAAAGUCACUCUAAGUUGAGUGUCAGCGAAAAAGUGUGGAAAUGGAGAGAAAAAGAAAGAUAUCCUAAACCCUAUGGUCGGAUAUACGGUUCAUUUCCUAUCUUACUGCACUUGAAUAAAACGACCACCCAGUCUGAGAUGCAGACAACAGUCAGACCUCUCACUGGCCUAAAGUGUCCAUGCUGUUUCAUUUGGGUCAUGAUUCUGACCUAGUAACAUUGCAUUUUAUUAAAGAGGACAGACAUUCAAAAACUGGCAGCUGUAAUUAGACCAAAAUUUAUCAAACUUGUUCUCUUGCAGACUACACUCGGCCUGGUUUUCCAUCCUAAUGAGGUAAAAGUACAAUCACAAGACAAUCCGGCACAGUGACUCCAACUGGCCAGUGAUAUGAGAGUCCAAACGAUUCUAGAAAACCUGGCCCUCAAGACCAAGUAAAAGCCAAAAGUGAAGAGAGAACAGGUGCAGAGCUGGGCUGCAGGGAAUCUGCAUGUUGAAAGAAUCACAGUCUUGCUCACUGUACAAGGUCCAAAGCCAGAAACACCUUUGAGUUCUAAGUGCAGGGAUGGACGACCUGCCCACAUCUAACAGCACUGGCUAAGGGAAGACUUCAAAGCCAGGCCCACUGCAAGCCCACGGCUUUGCCUUCCCUCCACUUCUGAAUUUAUGUAACUGGCUUCUUCUAAAAAGUGAUGGGGGUGGGGGGAGAAUCCCAUUUUCAUUUCCAAAUGUGGUGAACUCAUCUUGACGAACAGCACAUCUGAACAUUCCUCACUCUCCUACAGUUUGUCAAAUAAUUUGCAUCAAGUACUUUUUUUCAAGAGAUCUCUUGUAAUUGCAAUAAAACAGUUUUUCUUUUUUUGGCAGAGUGAAAAGUCAGACCCGUUGCCUGAUCCGCCCCGCAUCAAGCAGUAGCUGCACACACACACUGGCUGCCUUUCCUUUAGACAACACAGUGGCCCUGUGUCUCCCUGACACGGAUGUUCUCUGGGACCAUCAGUGAGUCUCUUUCGCUUUCACAGCUAGAAGGCGGCAAGAGAGGGGCCACGCUCUAGUUUGGUAUUUUUUUCUUGCAGCUUCUCCAGUCAAAGAUGGAGAAGUACAUACAACACUGAAAUGUUCCCAAGAAUGUACGCUUUGGGAUGAGCUGGACAGGGCAACCUUUUCAGGAUGAUUCAUUCUCUGUGGCUCUCAGUAUGUUCUGGGUCAAGGCCAUUUCUGAUGGGAACUGGAUCAUAAAACACAGGCUGACACUGGUGAAAGGCAUCCAAAGGUAAGCACUUACACCGAUCCCUUGAUUCUCAGACAAAAAAGACAUAAAUGAAGAAAACCAGUGGGCUCCUCUUUUGAAAAAAUGACGACGUGGGCUGCAGUGAGAAACCCGGUCACUCCUACACAGACAGCUUCUUGGACAUUCUCUGCGUGAGUGACCAAAGCCACCUACCCGAGCUUAGAAAACUUCCCACCAACGGCUUAGGUCUAACGUAGUGGCUCUUUUUGUACUUGAUGUCUAUACUGGAGCAAGGGGUUACAGAGUUUAUAAAGGACUGGUCCAAUGCAGAGUAUGUGGCUUCACAUCACACUGGCCUCUCUACCCCCCAAAAACGAAGGUGCCUAAGUCCUGUCCUUCCUGGAGCCUUAACUGCGCUGAGAUCCCGGCGGGGAGAGGCAGUCUAUAAAUAUGAAGCGUUACGGUUACCCUUAGUUACUUCACUUUUUCAGAGCAUAAUGCAAUCUGUCCCGAGUCCAAUGUUUUAUUUCUGUAGUGGAUUCUGCUGUCCUAUUUUAUAUAUUGUAUAUCACGCGUUAUGUUGCUCUAGUAAUCUUUUGAAGAUGUUGUUCCACUAUUAUUUUUACUUGCCUUGAAAAAAAUGGAAGUGGGCAGGAAGGGGAGGCCUGCUGGCAGACUCUAUUUAAGGUGCACAGUGGAAAGUCAUCUACUGACCAGGACCCAAACUCCUGGAGGAGAGGAGGAAGAGCCAGUCCUCAAAUCAUGACCUGAGACCCAGGUGUUCACCUCACCUCAUGACAGCUACAAAGGAUUCUUGGGAAAAUGGUGGGAGAGUGUGGGGCUAUCACUGAAAGUAAGAAAGCAUCCUAGUGGAAAUUAGUCACAAAGUUAAGAGAAUCCAGAGGCUGGAGGAUCACUGCUGCUGGUGGGCUGGGUUUUUUUUUUUUUUUUUUUUUUUGCCUGGCAGCCUCAUGAAUGUCAAAUGUGCUUGUAAUCUGAAUACCAUUCCAGAUAGAGCAGCCUUUAAAUUCACACUUCAUAAGACUCCAGGGAAAAUAAGCUACUAAUGAAUGGUAUUUACAGUGGCGGCAUCUAAGCGUGCGUUCAUUUGCUUUUCUAAAGUUACUGUGUAAACUACAAGUAAUUAAAAGAAACAUAGAAAGUAGUUCCUCCUAUUAAAUUUGUUUUGGGUUCUGUAUGUGUGUGUGUGUAUAUAUAUACAUAUAUACAUAUAUAUAUAUAUAUAUAAUUACUGAAAAGCUAAGCCGAGUGAAUUUGCCUCUGGACUCAAAAGUGUGUUAAGGCUGUGUAUGCUCCAUCCUCAGAAGCCUGAAGCCUUCGCUGUGUAAACAGUUCUCUAGGACACAGGGCAGGUGCUCAGUGAGAAUAGGAAGAUUAUUCUAUCCCCUCUUCACCCAACUCCAUUCCCCUUGAUGCCGAGCGUCUCCAUCGUGUUUGCAUCAUCAUCAUCCCCUGAAGGAGCCUUUUUAAGACGUUAGCUUCUCGGUUUGCGCCCUUCCCUCAGGAAACGUUAAUCUCGGCCCUUUGAAGGGGCACAGGACUCGGCCACAUCUGUACCAAGAACGCAGGCUGCGGAGGCCCACAGGACCCUGUCCGCCGAUGAGCUCUGGAGGGCGGGCCUGCCCAGAUUUAUUGGGAAGAAACAGACACUGGCUGUUUACCACUGAGAGUACCGCCUCCUGCAUCUGACAGGAUCAGAGGAUGACACGACCCCCAGUGGAUCAGCAUCCGUUAUCAAGCUAUGCCUUACCUUCCCAAAUACAAAGAAGCUGGCCCUUACUGGGGGUAAGUGCUUUAGUUAACAGAGAAAAUGCCAAAGGGAACCAUGAGUAGAACUCUCAAUGGCAAAAUGAGACUGCUUUAUUAUUUGAUGGCUUCUAUUUUACAUAUAACUUUCUUAGGGUGAAAAGGAAAUUCUGGUCACUGCUCAACUGAAACCCUUGACAUCUGUAACCUACCAAAGGAGGAGCUCAACUGAAGGGUGAAGAGUUUUUAACAUCUCACCUUUCCCGAGUUUCAGGAAAUUCCACAACCCUUACCAGGUAAAGUAACAAGCACAGUUUCCUCUUCAGUUCUCCUGGUUGAACUUACUGACACUCAAAACUGGACAUGAGGAUAUUUCAAAGAGACCCAAGUCAUUUACUCCCAGUUUUCUUCUUACAGGGAAUAAGGUGACAAUGUGGGCCUAAGAAGAGGAUACUAAUACCACACCUCGCAUCCCUCGGCAGGCUGAAGAAGAGAAAGGAGUAUUUUGAACCAAGUUCCUUCAGUGCCUAUGUGUCUUAAUAGAAAAAAGGUACACUGGGUCAUUAUUCAUAACUCUGUAAGUGUGAAGAAUUCUGUGUUUGAUUUCCUCCCAUAUAAAGUUAAUAAGUAGCAAGGAAAACUUCUAAUUCAAACAAAACAUGUUUUAUUUGCACCCUAUAACAAACCCCUAUCAUCUUUAUAAUAAAACCAUGUAAAAUAUUUGCAUUUUAAAUAUUUCUAAAUGUCUUAGAAUUGGGGCAUUGUAAGAAUUCUAGAUAUUAAAUAUACAAAUAUGAUUAAUCUCCAAUAGUACCUACCCCCUUUUCUAUAGCAAAAAUAUUAUUAUUAAAACAGAAAUUAUAGUGAGGAAAUCCAAAAAUUGUUGAGGGCUUAAUCUAAUACAAUGCAAUCAAUACACCAACGGUGGAACUUGGAUCGAGGACUGUUGUGUGACCACAACCUUGCUGAGGGCCUCCCACUUGGAGCUAUGGAAUCUGACUUGUCUAGAGCAAAUGCUGUCAGUCAAGUCAUAUAUUUCAUAAUUACUUUUCUUACACACAGUUAAUGAAUAUGACAGUUUCUUCACUUAAGAAACAGAACCUAUAUACAUUUAGGGUUCUCCUGUAAUAACUCCAUAUACUGUGCUAGUGUUUGGAGUGUACAGCCUUCUCCACUUAUGUCACAUUUACCUGAUCAUUUUUACAUGUUACUAAUGGCUAAAGAAAAAAGUUAUCUAUGCAGUCUCUGCAGAAAUACAUGCUGAUGGUGGCUGAAGACCUCAAGGCAUGAGGUUUGUGUACAAAAGACCACCUCCUUCACAUUCCAACCAUAGAGAAACAGACAACUUUGGUCUAUCUGAUGCAAAAGUAAGGGAGUCUUCUUCCAUCCUGGCAUUUCUAACACCACAGUAAUUAUUUUCUCAAUCCAAUAUUUCUACAAAUUAGACUCUCUGAAUAUAUCAAAACAAUAUUACUGUAACUUACAAGACCUGCAUGUUACCAACAACACAUUCUCUCCUGUAAACCGCAAGAUCCAAGACUAAACAGACCUGCA